ACGCUUAAUGCCUUUGAAUAAAACUUAUAAAGACAAAGUCCGGAUUUUCUCUUCUUGUGAGUCAACUUCUAUCCACUUUGAUAAGAAGAUUCCACAACACCUCUACGCUCUUGGAGAAAGAAAAGCAGAACUAGAAAACUAAACCCAGCCAGAAGUGUCUUUGAAAUGUCGCUGCUAUCUUAACAGCGAGAUAACGUUGGUGGGUGACAGCCACUACAGCUGCAGAGCUUUGGAGCAAGUCCGGGAAACAACCUACAUUGUAAACCAACUCCAGAGACAAUAAAGUUUUCUUCUUCUGUGAGAUUAAAAAAAGAAAUGGAAAAGCAAAAGAAUGAUUUUCAUGUAGGCUGUGUGUGCAAAAAGGGUACUGGUGAAAAUGUAAAAGACUUACAGCUGUUUGAAAAUUUUAAGUUUGUACUUAUCCAAAAAUCAAAGCUGAUAGAACAAUUCCCAAGAAAUUAACCACACUUGCAAAAUAUGCUUUUCAUUUUCAGCCAUCAGAUUUGCAAUGACUUUCUCUUCAUGUAUUACAAUACAUUUGAAAAUCCUGUAGCUAUAAUCACAAUUAUCUUUAAUUCAAUUCAGUUAACCUUCAAAGUACCAAUAUUGCAUCAAUGCACUUUAAAAGACAAGCAGAAACAAAGAAAUUUAAAUCAAUCCAAUUCAUUCCAAUACAUCAAAACCUAUAGUAGGAUUUAUAUCCGGUUUAAUCCGGUUCAGUAUAACUUAUAAUACAGUCAGAUUGAAUUAGUACAAAAGGUUAGUGGCAGCAAUAGCUACAUCUGUGACUUCAUGAGGCAAGGUUAAACAUAGGCACACUGAGCCAGGAAUACUUUUUGUGAGGAAAAAUAGUUAAUCACACUAAUAGUUAAACCAAUGGCUUCAUCCGGGAAAGAAAGAGAGCUAAAUACAAAAGCACUUAGCAAGGAAUACUUUCUAUAGACAAAAAAAAAACAAUGAAUAUGCAGAUAAUGGAAUGUAAUAUCUCCAGUAGUGGCUCCAUCCAGGAAAGAGACAUAACCAAACACAAAAGCACUAAGCUAGGUGUACUUUCUAGUUAAUGAGAAACACAGUACACAAUUUACGGGCAGAAAAAGUUAAGUGAAACGCACUAUCUCAGAGAGGGACCCUGCUAAACAAAACAAAAAUACAUACAGUCAGUAGCAGCAAUAGCUUCAUCACUUGCUUCAUUCAGGAAAACGACAAAGCUAAACACAAAACAAACUGAAUCAGGUAGUCUUUCUACUUUGAAAGAAACAUUAUACAAAAGUUAAUGGUAACAAUAACCCUAUCAUUGGCUUUAUCUAGGGAGGAGAGCCAGCUAAACAUGAAAACUGAGCUGGAAGUACUUUGUAUGACAAGAAAACAAAUACUGUACACAAAGGUAAUGGCAGCACUAUCUCCAUCAAUGUCCUUAAUAUAACUUUUAUUUCACUUCGCAUCAGGAGCAAACAAAAAGCCUCAUUGUCAUUUUCCAGCCAAUUAACACCUAAUGAACUAAAAGCACCAGAUGUCCAUUGCAAAGGGCACUCAGACAUAAAUGCCCUCCACAUUGUUUUUGUUUUGGACCACUUAAAAAUGCCUUUAUCUACUACAUUUUAUUAAGUAAUAGCCAUUGUGAGCUGGCAGCACCUUCCCUCCUCCAUCCACCUCAGUCCUGGAUGCAAUUUUCUUAAUGCUGCACUCAAGUAAUAUUGUUAUUAUGACAAAACACAAUACUCUGCCUCUGUCUCCACACACAAUGAAAAUCUGCACAAACCCUCAACAUGCACUCAAAAUGGAAUAAACCACUGUGUAAUGCUAAUCUAGCUUGUUUUUUAAAGCCAAAAGAAAUUAAUGUCUAAAAACAUUUUAGUUUUAAUGACCUGUUGUCCCUGCCUAAUAUUUAAGUCUUUUAUCCCCACUCUGAAUACAUAUACCUUUGCUUAUUUCUCCCAUUAGAAUGCACCAUGACUUCACAUGAGAUCAUACUGAAUUGAGAUCAAAUAUCAAACAAGUCUAAAGAGCAACUGCUUAAUGCAGGAUGAGAACUCUGAUUAGAUAAACACAGGUUUAUAAUAACUUGAUUAGAAUGGUCUCAGCACA